UAUAAAGGGAAGGGUAAUCACCUUUCUGUAUACAGUGCUAUAAAAUCCCUCCUGGCCAGAGGCAACAUCCUGUUACCUGUAAAGGGUUAAGAAGCUCAGCUAACCUGGCUGGCACCUGACACAAAGGACCAAUAAGGGAACGAGAUACUUUCAAAUCUUGGGUGGGGAAAGGCUUUUGUUUGUGCUCUUUGUUUAUGUGGUUGUUUUCUCUUGGGACUGAGAGAGGCCAGACAGAAAUCCAUCUUCUCCAACGCAUCCUAAUCCAAGUCUCAAUAUUGUAACCAGUAUAGCCACCUAGACCUGUUGGUUCUCAGAGCUCAGUCUAUGAUACUCCCCUGCCUUGUUUUCCAGCUAUUGAAACUGUCUCACAGGAAUGUCAUUAUCAGGGACGGCAUUCACCAAGGGUCUGGCCGUUGAAGGGAAGGUCCUGCAUUGACUGCUGAGCUUCACUGGAUAAGCCUGAGAGGAGCAGGCAGAAAGCGUGCCACAUGGAGAGGGCGGAGCCCAUGGAGUGGGUGGCAGAGUCCGCUGCGUCAGAUGCUGCCUGGAAGGCCACCCUGGCCGUGCCUUCACCGAGGAUCACUCAGAAUUCCUUCCAGGAAGGGAACCCUUGAACUUGGCCAUGGUCUGCCACAUGUUAAAGUCACAGCGGCCCAGGAGGGCCUGGUGGUUGGCCACAAUCAACUGCAGGCUGGAAGAUGAAUAAACUUUGCGUCCAAAAAGAUUCAGCCUCCUUGAGUCUUUGUUUUUGGAGGUAGCACAUGCCCUGUCCCCAGGAUAAGUCCCGUUCAGAACUCACAAAGACUCUAAACUACAAUUAAGGGUAACUAUUUUAACUACUAACUAUAUACAACUAAAUUACAGGUUAUUUAAGUUCACAAGAACAGAGAACAGGUAACACUAGCCAAAGCAGCAGACAUUCCAGCACCGUCACUGGUGGCAAGAAGGAACUGAGGGUGGGGGGAGCCGGCGGCACCCCUUAUAUCGCAC